rnacentral:rRNA from 1 species
GUUACCCUACGGGACGCAGCAGUGGGGAAUAUUGCACAAUGGGGGAAACCCUGAUGCAGCGACGCCGCGUGGGCGAGGAAGUACCUCGGUAUGUAAAGCCCUAUCAGCAGGGAAGAAACAGGACAGUACCUGACUAAGAAGCCCCGGCUAACUACGUGCCAGCAGCCGCGGUAAUACGUAGGGGGCAAGCGUUAUCCGGAUUUACUGGGUGUAAAGGGAGCGUAGACGGCAGGGCAAGUCUGGAGUGAAAGCCCGGGGCUCAACCCCGGGACUGCUUUGGAAACUGCCAUGCUAGAGUGCUGGAG